GUGCAUCGUAUAGUAUAGAUUAUAAAUUAUUAUAUCUACCAAUUUGCGUGGUCAAAAGACGUGUGAGUUGCAUUAUUAUAUCUUUUGGUUUACUGUCCCCUGGUUCCGGAUAAAACGUUUUCCCCUAUUGCCGGACAAUCUAUACAGUACAAAUCUUAAUCUUAAAAUUCUGACAAAAGAAAUUCACCUAAAAGAGCGGUAUCUUCAAAAUAUGGCUUUGCAAGAAGCACUUGCUGCCAAAAAUGGGCACAUGAGGCUGGUGCCGAUAUCCCCGAAUGUUCUGACAAUUAAAUUAUAUUUGUGAUCGCUGUAAAUUAUAUUAAAACUGUUCUCUGAGUACGUUAAUAAGUCUUACUGUGUCCGAUACUAGGUGUCACUUAAUUAUUUCUCAAAAUCAUAUAUUAAAGUUUAACGUUAAUUUAAGUUAACUACAAUGAUAAUAUUGAUUAUUUCGUUGCUUUAUUUUGAUAUCUAAUAUUGUUAACUGAUAAAUAAUGCAGGAUAAAG